rnacentral:rRNA from 1 species
UGCGUAGGCGGUUCGCUAAGUCGGUUGUGAAAUCCCCGGGCUCAACCUGGGAAUUGCAGUCGAUACUGGCGGGCUAGAGAACGGUAGAGGGAGGCGGAACUCCAGGUGUAGCGGUGAAAUGCGUAGAUAUCUGGAAGAACACCGAUGGCGAAGGCAACCUCCUGGGCCUGUUCUGACGCUGAGGCACGAAAGCGUGGGUAGCAAACAGGAUUAGAUACCCUGGUAGUCCACGCCGUAAACGAGUGAGAACUUGACGUCGGUUCGCCUAGCGAAUCGGUGUCGAAGCUAACGCGCUAAGUUCUCCGCCUGGGGAGUACGGCCGCAAGGUUGAA